GCUCGCUUCGGCAGUGUGUACACUAAAACUGGGACGGCACAGAGAUUAGCAGGGCCUCUGUGCAAGGAUGACACGCAAAUUUGUGAAGCGUUCCAUAUUUAA